rnacentral:tRNA from 1 species
GGGGAUGUGGCUCAGUGGUAGAGUUUUUAUCUUGCAUGCACAAGGUCCUAGGUUCAAUUCCCAGCACCA